UGAGUAACACGUGGGUAACCUGCCCUUGAAGUAGGGGAUAACACUUGGAAACAGGUGCUAAUACCGUAUAACAACCAAAACCACCUGGUUUUGGUUUAAAAGACGGCUUCGGCUGUCACUUUAGGAUGGACCCGCGGCGUAUUAGCUUGUUGGUAAGGUAACGGCUUACCAAGGCGAUGAUACGUAGCCGACCUGAGAGGGUAAUCGGCCACAUUGGGACUGAGACACGGCCCAAACUCCUACGGGAGGCAGCAGUAGGGAAUCUUCCACAAUGGACGAAAGUCUGAUGGAGCAACGCCGCGUGAGUGAUGAAGGGUUUCGGCUCGUAAAACUCUGUUGUUGGAGAAGAACAGGUGUCAGAGUAACUGUUGACAUCUUGACGGUAUCCAACCAGAAAGCCACGGCUAACUACGUGCCAGCAGCCGCGGUAAUACGUAGGUGGCAAGCGUUGUCCGGAUUUAUUGGGCGUAAAGCGAGCGCAGGCGGUUUUUUAGGUCUGAUGUGAAAGCCUUCGGCUUAACCGGAGAAGUGCAUCGGAAACCGGGAGACUUGAGUGCAGAAGAGGACAGUGGAACUCCAUGUGUAGCGGUGAAAUGCGUAGAUAUAUGGAAGAACACCAGUGGCGAAGGCGGCUGUCUGGUCUGUAACUGACGCUGAGGCUCGAAAGCAUGGGUAGCGAACAGGAUUAGAUACCCUGGUAGUCCAUGCCGUAAACGAUGAGUGCUAAGUGUUGGAGGGUUUCCGCCCUUCAGUGCUGCAGCUAACGCAUUAAGCACUCCGCCUGGGGAGUACGACCGCAAGGUUGAAACUCAAAGGAAUUGACGGGGGCCCGCACAAGCGGUGGAGCAUGUGGUUUAAUUCGAUGCUACGCGAAGAACCUUACCAGGUCUUGACAUCUUCUGCCAACCUAAGAAGAUUAGGCGUUCCCUUCGGGGACAGAAUGACAGGUGGGUGCAUGGUUGUCGUCAGCUCGUGUCGUGAGAAUGUUGGGGUUAAGUCCCGCAACGAGCGCAACCCUUAUUGUUAGUUGCCAGCAUUCAGUUGGGCAC
rnacentral:rRNA from 1 species